rnacentral:rRNA from 1 species
AUACGUAGGGGGCGAGCGUUGUCCGGAAUUAUUGGGCGUAAAGCGCGCGCAGGCGGUCUUUUAAGUCUGAUGUGAAAGCCCACGGCUCAACCGUGGAUGGUCAUUGGAAACUGGGGGACUUGAGUGUAGGAGAGGGAAGUGGAAUUCCACGUGUAGCGGUGAAAUGCGUAGAGAUGUGGAGGAACACCAGUGGCGAAGGCGGCUUCCUGGCCUAUAACUGACGCUGAGGCGCGAAAGCGUGGGUAGCGAACAGGAUUAGAUACCCUGGUAGUCCACGCCGUAAACGAUGAGUGCUAGGUGUUAGGGGGAUCGAGCCCCUUAGUGCCGACGUCAACACAUUAAGCACUCCGCCUGGGGAGUACGGCCGCAAGGUUGAA